UCUACCCUCUCUCUCUCUCCCUCCCUUAGCCUCCCGCUCUUCAAACCCAAUCCCAGCUUCCUUUCGCCGCCUCCCUCCUCCCUAGUUAAUGCCACGGUCUCUAGAAUGCUGCCAUGGAAGGUUGCUUGAUGAGAUGCUCUCACAGCGGCACUCUCCUGAAAGCCCUCAAACCUCUCGCUGAGUUCUUCUUCUUCGCUGGUCUGCAUAGUGAGGCUCAGUGGGGAGCAAUGGCUAACAGGAAUCUGGAGAAGUUGGUGUCCAUUGACGCGCAGCUUCGACUUCUGGUUCCGGCUGUAAAAUUUGGUUUCGAUCGGUUUGAGAUGUUCAUCUUGAUUUCGAUUGGUACCCAUGAUGCAAAAACACUUGAAUUUGUGAUUGGACUAUGCUGCAUUUUAUUCUCCUGCUAAAAGUAUGGAACUUCGUGUGUGAAUUUGAAACUCCUUAUCAAUUUUGUUUGAAACCUUUUGAUUUUUUUGGGAUUUGAUUUUCCUUACAAAGGUAUAUAACUUUGGAGGGUUUGCAGAAGUAGAUUGGGUUAUGGGUUGGGUGUUUUGUGUUCUUCCUCUCUGUGAAGCGGGGCUUGAUUUGUGAGUUUUCUGGGAUGCCAAUUAGUUCUGAUAAAAUUGAAUAAUUUCUGGAUUAUGUUAAUGGAGUGGUUGAUCAAAUUUUGGGUUAAGCAUUUGUUAUUGCAAUGCUGUUGACGUUAAUCCUUUUCUUUACUAGGAGCAAUCUGGGCAUGCGACGAACAAGAAACAUAUGAAAGAAGAGAUAAUAGAGAGAGACAGGAAAGACAGAGUCAAAUAAAAAGGAACAUAAGGAUAAGAAACCGGAGCUUGUAGGACUUCCGCCUUCAGGCUGAUUUAGCAAUGUAUAUUGAUAGCGUUGAUGCUGCUGAACUACUUUUGCGCCUUUCAAUUUUUCGAUACAGCCAACUAUCCGCUAGUGAUCAACUACAGACGACAGAAGAAGUACGUAAUAAACUAGUUCAACAAGGUGUUCUAGUGUUCGAGCAACUCCCCGAAGAAAGCGAGGAGGACUUGAGAGUCAGAACUUUCACAGAGCUAUUCAAGAAACUUCCCUUCUCUGAGCAUGAUAUUUUCCUUUCCAAAGUUGUAAAGAAAUUCAAGCGCGAUGGGCAAUGUGGCGAACUGAUUUCUUGGUUCAGUACUCAACUAGAUUUCAAGGAACAACAAGAAGUGACUGGUAAAAUUGUUCAUGUCACAGCUGAUUAUGACAAAACCAGUGAUGAAAAUGCCAUACUCGGAAGAUUUUCACAGCUGUCGAGAGAUUAUACCGACUAUCUUCAUAAGCUUCUUGUCCCCUGCAUGGAAGAACAGAAAAAGAAACGAAAGAUAAACAGAGGACUGCCGAAGAGGAAACUAGUUCGGAUUGGCAAUUCCGUUUUGAUGAGUUUUUUUUUGGUUUCUCAAUUGUUUGGUUCAAGGGACAAAGCGUGAGUCGUCAGGAAAGGGUGCUAAAGAGAUCAGUUAGCGAUAUAAUUGAUCAGAGCAGAGAGAGUGAGAAGGAUUUCAGACUCAGAAAAUUCUCAGAGUUUCUGCGCACGAAAGCACUUCCCUUUGGUAUUCAAGUGUGUUUGAUUGAUACGGUCAAAGAGGAACUGCUUGAAUCUCACCAUAGGACUAGACAUGUCCGUGAUAUUGAUGGAAUACUAUCCUAUCUCUUGACUUUUGGAUUUAGCCUACUGUCCCCCAUUGACCAACAACGGAAAAUUGAAGAAAUCUCCGGUGAAGCUGGUGGAAAGGUUGAGAUCAUCAAAAGAAAGGUGGAAGAAAGUGAGGGAGAUUUCAGAGUGAGAACGUUCGCAAGCCAAGUUCACAAAGUCGGGUUAAGAACCCGAGCUGCUAUGCUUUUCGAAGUUUCAAACAAAUUCUUAUGUGAAAGAAAGUUGCAUGACUUAACUCUUUUGUUCAGGCAACUAGGCUCCAACGGUCGGAAAAAUCUGAUAGAACAAUUGUUUGAUUGGUUAAUGGAAACGUACUAUUCAAGCAAAUAUACCAAAGAUGUCAUAACCGAGAAACUCAGAAGAAAGUGAGGAGGAUUUCAGGGUCAGAAGCUUUAUAAAGCUCUGUACUACGCAUCCUUCCCUCUGGGAUCAGAAUCAAGUUGCGAAAUGGGAUCUCACAAGUAUGCUGCAAACAUCCGGCAAUCGAGAGAUCAAUAAAGCCAAACACGGUGGUAUUUCAGUAUCACACAAUAAUUUCUCCUCGCGAUAUGCUGAAUUUUACUUUGGUUUGUCGGUUAUUUGGUUCAAGACCAACAAAUCAGGAAUCCGCUCCAUUGAAGUACUUCUCGGUGAAGCUGAAGAAGGUGACACAACAGAGAAACUCCGCGGAGAGAAUGAGGAGGAUUUCGAAGAUUCGUCGAGUCGUUUAAUCAACUUAAAGUCAGCUCCCAAGAGUACAUCGUCAAAUAUAUACUGAGAUCGCUAGAGCAAAAUAUUUAUAACGAAGGAGGUCUUUUGCCAGCUUGGCUGGCCUACCACGACGUGUUUACCACCUGGUUCGAAGAUCUUCCCUCAGCUCUUGGACUCUUGAAGAGAAAAAUAGUAACAGAGGCAGUCGCUCAAGGAGGAGGAGGACGAGCAUACUCGUUUGAAGAAGAUCUUCCCUUUGCUCUUGAAUUCAUCAAGGUAAAAAUUCCAAAUCUAAGGGGGGGACGAGAGGCAGUCGCUCAAGGAGGGGGAGGGGCAGCCGCUCAAGGAGGAGGAGGAGGAGCAACCGCAAUUACAGGAACAAGUCAACGGACGGGUCGAUGAUUUGCAACAACGCACAAGUUAUCUCCGAACAAAACAACCAUAUUUAAUAAUCGCGUUAUUUGCAGUUGCUUCAAGUUGAUUUUAUAUUUUACAUGUACCUUGAUCAUCUAUCUGUUUACUACUCUAAAGCCUCGUUUGGCACAUCGUAUUAGGCAUCGGAUAGAAUUAAAAAUAAAGUUUAGAGACUUGUGUACUAAAUAGUUGUCGGAUUAAUUAAUCCGGUCCAAGUUGAUUGGUACGCCUCAUACCUGCUAGUUAGUAUGCUCAAAAAGCUCGGUAUAAUUAGUCGGCUUCAAAACUGAAAAACACGUCUCGCACCCCUCUCGCAUCUGCUUCGUCAUCUCGCGUCUGCUGCUCAAGAUUCAGACCUAAAAUCAGGGGAACCACUCCUGCUCACACCUGAUUGCAUCAUCUUCCUCAUGGGUGUUUUCUCGUUUCAUCUUCAUCGUCUUCCUCUUCCUGCAAUUUUCCUUUUUUUUUCCUCUCUCCCUGUCUUGUAUCCUUUAGCUUGUGAUUUUUUUUCUAUUUGAUGGAUCUGUGAUUCUUAUAAUUUGUUAUUUUUUCUACUGAUGGAUCAGUUUGUGAUUUUCGUUUGGUAUGGGUUUCAAAGGGAUCUAGAAUCUGCGAGCACUUCGUCUUCCUUAUUCGUCUCUCUCUGGGUUUCUUUUGUUUUGGUUUUUUUUUUUUUUUGUUGAAUUUCUUUUUUUUUAAUUUGAAUAAUCAUUUCAAAAAUACUAUUAACAGGUAAUUAAAAAAUAAAACAUAAUCGAUCCUAUUAAUACGGUCAUUAGUUUGAUAUUGCACUAAACGCUUGAUUAAUUUAGUGUUAUCCGACGAGUAUUUAUCCUAUCCGACCUUCGAGUAUAAUCCCAGCAUCUCCCUUGUUUUUCACAUACAUCUUCCCCUUUAAUCCUUUGUCGGACUAAACAUGGAUAUAUGACAGGUAAGACCUGAUACAAGUAAUCCUUGCUCCAACUGGAUCUCUCUAUUUUUUCCCCUUUCCUCUAAUCUGCAAUCAAAGCUUAUAGCUAGUCAUAGAG